AGGAAACCAAUGUAAUUGAUUGCUCCUUUUAUUCUUUUUGGGAAUGUAAUAAUUAAUUUUAUUAUAUACAAGGGUUGUAUUAUAAAGUAGUUAUAAUUCCUAAUGGUUGUAAAUUCAUUUAUUUGGGCAUGAGCUCAUUUCCAUUGUAAUUUUUUCCUUGGUAUGCCAAGGAUACAUUAUGUAAAUGGCAUUGGUGGAAUCUUCAUGAAAAAAGGAGGCCAAAUUAGAGGGAGCACAAGACUUCAAGUUUUGAAGACUUUUGCUCAUUAGUAUAUGGAUGGAUGACAACCUACGAUGCCCUAAACUCUAGUCCUAAUGGUUAGGACUAGAGUCCCAUAGAAUACUCCAUGAUCAAGCUUUUUACAUUACCAUUUGUGGAUGAAUGUAUGUUUUAUAAAUGUAUGCUUAUCAAAUGUAUAUGAAAUAUGCGUGAAAACUGUUAAUGCACAAAGUGGGACAUAAUAGUAAUUAAGUUGACUAAGGAAUCUUCCAACCAAAAUGAUUUAGUUGAAAAUGGUGUUGGAAAUUUUUAUGGCUCUCGACUAUGGCAAUCACUUAGGAAGGUUAAACAUUUACACUAUUGGUUAUGGUUACAUGGGGAUAGUGUUUAUGGUUUAGCAAAUCUUCUUAAGCUAAUUGUUAAGAACAAGAUUUUAUGGGUAUACAAACACUUAUAAUGGCCAAUAACAACAAAUAUGAGUACCUGAGGUAAUUAUAGUUCAAGUUUAUAUGUUCAUUAACUUAGGGGGUCCAACAUAACUAAUGCAAGAUAGACUAAUAAUGGCAAUGUGUAUCUAAGGUUUUGAGCAUUAGGAGCCAAACAUGAUUGUGCCUCACAAACAUGAUUGUGCCUCACAUGAGAUAUGAUGAGUAAAGAGUUGCUCUCUUGUAAAUUAUUAUUAGUCUAGUAACAACAUUAAUUAUUUGAGGAUGAAUAAUAGUUUAUAAGAAUUCAAUCACCCACUUAAAAUCCAUCCCAAUUAGGAUAUUUGUUUUCAACUUUGGAAGUAUAGGAUUUGCCUAAUAAAUAGGAGGAUCAAUUUGAUUAAAAGACCAUGAUUAUUUUAGUUAAUUACUUAAUAUAAAAUGCUAAUUGGAAUCUUGUAAUUUUUUAUAGUUUAAUCUAAUAAUAAUG
rnacentral:misc_RNA from 1 species